rnacentral:lncRNA from 1 species
GUAAGUACCUCAGGCCCUUCCCCAGCCGCAUAAGGCGCCGCGCUAUCGCGGUGCUUAAAACACGAAAUACAGCUUCCCGCAGCGCUAAAUUAUCCCACGCGGUGCCUCAAUUAUAAGCGCAGCGUCUUAAAUCAGUAAGCGAUUUCAUCCCUGUGAGAUACCUCAGGUAAAUAUCGAUCGGGGAAGUUUAUGAAUACACGGUGUAGCUAGCUGUUUACCGUGUACUGAUAAGGGUUUAAAGACGACACAUGUUGAUGAAAGUCUGUGUUUUCACAAGUUUGCGGUUAAUUGGAGUAGGAGUGAUUGGAUUAUAAUUAGUUAAAGAUUAUAAUUAGUCUCUGCAACGAAAUGGGAUAACAGUUGGUGACGGAAUGCAUGGGCUCUUUCAUCACUCUUCCCCCUUGAAGAAGACCGGGCGGUUAUUGAAUAGGCACAGGCGAAAGCCACCCUUACCACAGAUGAACACUUUGCGCACCAUGGAGUGGAUUGUUGGUAAUCUGUCCGAGUCUCACCCAAACCUGAGCAAAGUCGCUACAGUGGGACUGCUUCUACCAACCUCCACAGCUGAUUGUGAGAGAGGUUUCAGCAGUUGAAUGUGUAAAGAUCACCCACCAUUCACCGGUGAGCAUGAAAGUGCUUAAUGCCUUACUCAUGGUGUCCAUGCAGGGACAAAAAUUGAAUGACUUUAAUUUCAGUGGUGCAGUAAAGGAAUGGCACAGAGCCAAAGACAGACACUUACCGGUAUAUGAAAACAAAAAUGCCUAUGUGUUGUUAGUGUUAGUACA